ACCCGCAGUGAAUCAUAUGUAUAAGGUUACCUUCUAAAGUGACUAUUAUUUCUUAUGUCAGUGUUGCCACUUUAAAGAUAUUGCUGAUAUAACUGAAGUUAGUUCUCUAUAGAGCCUAAGAGUAUCCGCUUGCAAUAAAAGGAUGCUGCACACUGAAAGUGUAACAGGGUAGUUUAAAUGCGAUAUGUCCACUGGAUUCUGGGACACUGCCACAAUAAUUAUGUAUAAGUUACAAUUUCUGUGCAUGGGGUUCAUAUAUUACUGUGUAUCUGUGGGUCACACUGUAAAGCUAAAAUUCUUCAGGAUGGUAAUGUCUAAAACACCGUAUCUACGGCUCAACGUUUGGCCUGUGACUACGCAAAUGAAGCGUAUAUGUAUAUCAGUAAUAGCGGCACUACAGUAUCCGUUGCAGUAUAACUACUGGUUCUCACGUGGUGCGUGAUUGUUAUAUCACAUACUCAUGAUUGUAUAUACUAAACCAGCACCAAACAAGAGAGACUACUAUGGUUUGUAAUGUUAGCAUUAAACUUGCCGUGACAAUGUCACUAAAGUUACUUAUUAGUUAUAACUUCUGUACGUGCGAUUCAUAUGUUGCUGUGCACCUUAGGGCCACACUGAUGCAAAGUGUAUCGACUAAAAUAGGAGAGGAACAGCUUAAGGGAGAUUGACUUUACUGACUGGGAAGGUUAUAGGGGGUUGGGGGCUAGGCGUAGCCCCUUCCUUUGGAUAGCACAGCUAUAGCAGGACAAUAGAAGAAGGGAUGGGCAGUGUAGAUAAGCUGCAACUAGCUGAUCCUAAAUAGGCUAGCACAGGGAUUGGCCAGGAGGGGGAGAGGGGGUAUGAACAGGAGUUGAGGAAAUUAACUGCCUAUAAAGAUGAUUGCACAAUGCUUGGAGCUCACAAUAAUUAUUUUCUUUUUUCAGAGCAGAGCAGUUUUCUUUGUUGCAGAAAUGGCUCCAAGGAACAGGAUAAUUGCUAAGAAAUUGGGAAAGAACUUUGUAUACUGAAGUCUCAUUCAUUGUUACAUUUCUAGCUGAAAUGACGAAGCCUAGCCCAAGGAAGAGGUCACGCACAAGAGCGAUCACAAGCGACACGGCUAAGGGCAGAUGCUGUGGUGUUUCCGCCACUCAGAUUAAGACCGCCCGUGUAGCGCCCCUUAAGGGUUUUUUCGCCACGAAGCAGGAAAUCAGCUACUGGUCUGUCGGUCAGAGCUGGUGGAUGGCAUAGAGAAAUCAUGGCAUUUUUAGUGGUAUAUUUCAUGACGCGGCGGGAAGUGGGCGUCCUGGCACGUGGGUAAUGCAGUAAUGGGGGGAGGUGUGUAGGGUACGGGGGCGGGGUAUUGGUCUGUCGGUCAAACCCACAAGCCCUCCUAGUCUGCAGACCUUUCGGCCCGUUACUAGCAAAUUGACGCCCCUGAGUUGCGCGCGGUCACGCUCCUUGGUUACGUGGGGACGCCCAGUUCUCUCGUCAUGCUGUUGCAUGAAUUGUGUUAUCAAUUCAAAUCCAAAUUGGAUUAAGGAUAUGUUAUUAUCCUAGUAGUUGAGGAUCGCUCAUUUUUCAUAAUUUAGAUUUGAAUUUAAUAAAUGUGACCUUUUCUAACGCCAAAUCUGUGUCUGUCAUUAUUGGUAUAUGAAAAUUGGGUAAAAGGGGUUACCAAACUAAAGGUAAAGUGGGAGCAUUUGGUUAGCAGGUACCUGUGAAGAUAGUUAAAGUGUAAAUCCCUUAGCAAAGUGUAUCGACUAAAAUAGGAGAGGAACAGCUUAAGGGAGAUUGACUUUACUGACUGGGAAGGUUAUAGGGGGUUGGGGGCUAGGCGUAGCCCCUUCCUUUGGAUAGCACAGCUAUAGCAGGACAAUAGAAGAAGGGAUGGGCAGUGUAGAUAAGCUGCAACUAGCUGAUCCUAAAUAGGCUAGCACAGGGAUUGGCCAGGAGGGGGAGAGGGGGUAUGAACAGGAGUUGAGGAAAUUAACUGCCUAUAAAGAUGAUUGCACAAUGCUUGGAGCUCACAAUAAUUAUUUUCUUUUUCCCUCCCUCCCUCCCUAGAAAUGACGAAGCCUAGCCCAAGGAAGAGGUCACGCACAAGAGCGAUCACAAGCGACACGGCUAAGGGCAGAUGCUGUGGUGUUUCCGCCACUCAGAUUAAGACCGCCCGUGUAGCGCCCCUUAAGGGUUUUUUCGCCACGAAGCAGGAAAUCAGCUACUGGUCUGUCGGUCAGAGCUGGUGGAUGGCAUAGAGAAAUCAUGGCAUUUUUAGUGGUAUAUUUCAUGACGCGGCGGGAAGUGGGCGUCCUGGCACGUGGGUAAUGCAGUAAUGGGGGGAGGUGUGUAGGGUACGGGGGCGGGGUAUUGGUCUGUCGGUCAAACCCACAAGCCCUCCUAGUCUGCAGACCUUUCGGCCCGUUACUAGCAAAUUGACGCCCCUGAGUUGCGCGCGGUCACGCUCCUUGGUUACGUGGGGACGCCCAGUUCUCUCGUCAUGCUGUUGCAUGAAUUGUGUUAUCAAUUCAAAUCCAAAUUGGAUUAAGGAUAUGUUAUUAUCCUAGUAGUUGAGGAUCGCUCAUUUUUCAUAAUUUAGAUUUGAAUUUAAUAAAUGUGACCUUUUCUAACGCCAAA